AUGAGACGACUAGUUGCCUCACAGGAGCUAUUGCUGGUUCUGCUGAUUUCGCUGCAGUGUCUUUCCUGCCUUGCAAUUGCAAAUCCUGCGUUGGAUCGCCAAGCUGAAGCACUUCUCCAAUGGAAAUCUGGUCUAAGGGGCGAUCUCUCCUACUGCGGGCUAGAGGAAUGGAGCAACGCAACCAGCCCAUGCAACUGGUCAGGCAUAUACUGCAGCUACAAGGUGCGCCGUGGCCAUGAGCGUGAUGCCAUCCUAGUUGUGACAUACAUUACACUUUUCUCAUGUAACAUCUCCGGUGGUUUGAGCAAGCUCCGAUUUGCACAAUUGCCUCAUCUUGUCUUUCUCGACCUUAGCAUUAACUCUCUCUAUGGACCAAUUCCGUCUGAUAUUGGUCGUCUUGCUGAGCUCUCUUACUUGGAUCUCUCUAACAAUAAGCUCACUGGAUCCAUCCCGCCAUCGAUAGGUAAUCUUACGAACCUAGGAUUCCUUGAGCUUUCUAACAAUUAUUUGUCACAAGGGAUACUCAGUUGCUUGCCUGACACAUUACAUAACUUGCAGUACCUUGAUUUAAGCCACAACAGCUUAACUGGCCCAAUACCUUCCAGAAAUCUAACGAGCUUACAAAACAUGGAUCUUUCCAACAACCGAAUCAUUGGCCCCAUCCCUUCAACCUUUUCGAAACUUAUAUCUUUAAUAACACUGAAACUUGAGUCCAAUGUGCUAAAUGAUAUACUGCCACCAGAACUAGGAUUUCUACGUAAUCUUUUUGUUCUAGAUCUAAGCAGCAAUCAGUUUACGGGAAGCAUUCCACCUCAGAUAGGACAGUUUCACCAUUUGUCCUUGUUGCGCCUGCGAAACAACUUACUGACAGGACCAAUACCAGAAGAACUUGGGUAUUGUACCGACCUAACUGAGUUGGAUUUGAGCAGAAAUAAUUUAAGUGGUGCCAUACCAAUGACUUUCAUGAUGCUUUACCGAUUACUUGAGCUGAAUUUAUCAUACAACAGUUUGGGCGGCAGAUUUUUUGGUUUCUACACAACUGAAGCCUCUUCUGUAGUUUCACUAGACCAUAAUACAGGUAUCUGUGGUGAUCCAUUAUAUGGCUUGACACCGUGUCAACCAUCAAAUCCAAAUCCUGACAGUUUACAUACAAAUGAAAAUUCCGACAGUAAACAUCUUGUUCCGAGGCUACUUCUUGCCUUUGCAAUGUUUUCUUGCAUCUGGCUCGUGGGUGGAAGCAUCACAGUG
rnacentral:lncRNA from 1 species